rnacentral:rRNA from 1 species
UAAUGUAUGGGGAUCUGCCCGAUAGAGGGGGGUAACUACUGGAAACGGUGGCUAGUACCGCAUAAUGUCUACGGACCAAAGCAGGGGCUCUUCGGACCUUGCACUAUCGGAUGAACCCAUAUGGGAUUAGCUAGUAGGUGGGGUAAAGGCUCACCUAGGCGACGAUCUCUAGCUGGUCUGAGAGGAUGAUCAGCCACACUGGGACUGAGACACGGCCCAG